rnacentral:rRNA from 1 species
AUUGAACGCUGGCGGCAUGCCUAACACAUGCAAGUCGAGCGGCUGCACGGUGCUUUCUCCUUGAUUCCGCGUCGGACGGGUGUGUAUUUCCUAUGUAUCUGCCUGCUUUUGUGGGCUAACGUCCGGCAACGGCCGCUAAUACCCCAUACGUCCUGUGCGUGUUAGUGCGGGUUCUUUGCUCCUCUCGCUCUCUGAUGUGCCUAGUUCGGAUUAGCUAGUUGGUGGGGUAAAGGCCUAACAAGGCGACGAUCCGUAACUGGUCUGAGAGGAUGAUCAGACACACUGGAACUGAGACACGGACCAGACUCCUACGGGAGGCAGCAGUGGGGAAUAUUGGACAAUGGGCGAAAGCCUGAUGCAGCAAUGCCGAGUGUGUGAAGAAGGACUUCGGAUUGUAAAGAACUUUAAGUGGGGAGGAAGGGCAGUAAGAUAAUACGGUGCUGGGAUGACGUUACCAACAGAAUAAGCACCGGCUAACUACGUG